GAAGUCACACCAUAUAUGUCCUUGUACUCAAUCUGAUAGUAUAAGGAGCCCAUUAAGAGACCAAUCAUUAUACAGCCUGUAAGUCUACCAUAUGUAUAUUGCACAUUCCUCCAUAGAAAUCUUUGUGUUCUUUGUAGUACCAAAAGGGCUUGCCAUGAAUAUGGAGCUGGGUAAGUAGAAGUCAGAUCCCUUGCUGUUUUUCCCUUCAUCAUUUUCCUUACAUUGCAAACUUCAUUAUAAUUAGCUUCUUGUAAAGAGCUAGCUGCAUAAAUCUCUGCAUAAUUUAAUGAAGGAGUUUCCCUUUUUUGUAUACCUAAGCCAAGAGUCCCCAUGACAUAGCUAACUGGACUUUGUCUUUUGGAGUAAUGAGGAGCUUUUGGUAUUGAUUUGAAAUAUUCUAGCAACACUGUACAGUUACCUCCUACUGGGCCAAAGUAUGCUUGAUGCCCUUUAUGUGUUAGAAUCAGAGCCAGAUCAAAGGAUGACAAUGUACGUGUAUUGGGAUGUGUAAGAGAAGCAAUAAUAAUUCGACCUGAUUUUGACAAUCGAGAGAGAAUAUUGAGAAUGUUUAAAGUUCCUGCAGUAUCAAGGCCGGAUAGUGGCUCUUCAAGAAAGAGAAUACUUGGAUUUGCUGCCAGCUCUACUGCAAUUGUUAUCUUUUUGGCUAUCUCAAAUGUUUUUCCAGUGGCAUCACGGAGGGAACCAACCAGUUGGUUGGAGUAGGGAAGUAAACCGAGUUGGUUAAGGACCAGCUCAACAUGGAUGCGACAGCCUAAUGUGUUAACUGCCUGUCCAAGACGAAGUGCAGCACUGAAUUGAAGGGAUUCACGUAUAGAGAGGUAAGGUUGAUGAGCAUCAAGCUUCUCGACAUACCCUAUUAAUCGUGAAAAGGCAGCGCCUGUUCUAGAGCCAUUCACUUGUAUAUUGCCACUGAGGUUAGCCAUGGAAGCUGCCCUACCAGCUAGGCAUUUGAGCAGUGUGGCCUUGCUUGUCCUUGUACCACCCAAUAUAGCUACCAUAUGCUGUGGUUUAGCAUAGCCUGUGAUAUUGCUGAAUACUGCCACAUUUUCUUUAGUUUCUUCGUUGUACCUGAUCCGUGGAUAAUAUAAUGUUAAAUAUGUG
rnacentral:misc_RNA from 1 species